rnacentral:rRNA from 1 species
UCCUACGGGGCGCAGCAGUGAGGAAUAUUGGUCAAUGGGCGCGAGCCUGAACCAGCCAAGUCGCGUGAGGGAAGACGGUCCUAUGGAUUGUAAACCUCUUUUGUCGGGGAGCAAAAGACGCCACGCGUGGCGUUCCGAGAGUACCUGAAGAAAAAGCAUCGGCUAACUCCGUGCCAGCAGCCGCGGUAAUACGGAGGAUGCGAGCGUUAUCCGGAUUUAUUGGGUUUAAAGGGUGCGCAGGCGGAGGCACAAGUCAGCGGUAAAAUCGCGGGGCUCAACCCCGCUCCGCCGUUGAAACUGUGUCC